rnacentral:lncRNA from 1 species
UAUAGAUAAUUUUUAUUAUAUAAUGUAUCAAAAUUGAAUUAAUCUUGAAUCUUGUAAGAUGAGGCCGCGGUUAAAAGAAUUUAGAAACCUAUGGAAAAGAAUGUAUAUGGGCUUACACCGAAUAUAUAUUGUAAUCCACUAUAGUCCAAUAAAUAUUAGCGUGCCCAAAUUUUUUGACUGNGACAUCUAUAUAUCUAAUAUUAUAUAAAAGAUCAGUGCAAGGUAAAUUUUAGCGCUAUUUUUUCUCUCUCCAUGUUUUCUUCCUCCCACGUUCUUUCAAACUACUACUGCAUUAACCACGAUCCAUUAAAAUUAGAAUUUAAUCCCCAUUAUUUUAAACUAUUUUCAUCAACCAACCCUCUCCUCUCGCAGAUUCCAUCACUGCCGCACGAAGAUUCGGCCGUCAUUUAUCGUUCGUCCAUCAUACUCUGAUGGAGACUCAAU